rnacentral:rRNA from 1 species
UACGUAGGGUGCGAGCGUUGUCCGGAAUUAUUGGGCGUAAAGAGCUCGUAGGCGGUUUGUCACGUCUGCUGUGAAAUCCCGAGGCUCAACCUCGGGCCUGCAGUGGGUACGGGCAGACUGGAGUGCGGUAGGGGAGAUUGGAAUUCCUGGUGUAGCGGUGGAAUGCGCAGAUAUCAGGAGGAACACCGAUGGCGAAGGCGGCUCUCUGGGACGGUACUGACGCUGAGGCGCGAAAGCGUGGGGAGCAAACAGG